UCCUGGCUUAGGAUAAACGCUGGCGGCGUGCUUAACACAUGCAAGUCGAACGGAGUAUUCCUCCGGACGAUUGAAGGAGCUUGCUCUGGAUUGAGUCUUUGGAAUACUUAGUGGCGGACGGGUGAGUAACGCGUGGGUAACCUGCCUCACACAGGGGGAUAACAGUUGGAAACGACUGUUAAUACCGCAUAAGCGCACAGUACCGCAUGGUACAGUGUGAAAAAACUCCGGUGGUGUGAGAUGGACCCGCGUCUGAUUAGCUAGUUGGUGAGGUAACGGCCCACCAAGGCGACGAUCAGUAGCCGGCCUGAGAGGGUGUACGGCCACAUUGGGACUGAGACACGGCCCAAACUCCUACGGGAGGCAGCAGUGGGGAAUAUUGGACAAUGGGGGAAACCCUGAUCCAGCGAACCGCCGCGUGAGUGAUGAAGUAUCUCGGUAUGUAAAGCUCUAUCAGCAGGGAAGAUAAUGACGGUACCUGACUAAGAAGCACCGGCUAAAUACGUGCCAGCCGCCGC
rnacentral:rRNA from 1 species